GGUGGCGAGUGGCGAACGGGUGAGUAACGCGUCGGAACGUACCGAGUAAUGGGGGAUAACGCAGCGAAAGCUGUGCUAAUACCGCAUACGCCCUGAGGGGGAAAGUGGGGGAUCGCAAGACCUCACGUUUUCGAGCGGCCGACGUCUGAUUAGCUAGUUGGUGGGGUAAAGGCCUACCAAGGCGACGAUCAGUAGCGGGUCUGAGAGGAUGAGCCGUCACACUGGAGCUGAGACACGGUCCAGACUCCUACGGGAGGCAGCAGUGGGGAAUUUUGGACAAUGGGGGCAACCCUGAUCCAGCCAUUCCGCGUGAGUGAAGAAGGCCUUCGGGUUGUAAAGCUCUUUCAGCCGGAACGAAACGGUAUUCCUUAAUACGGGAUGCUAAUGACGGUACCGGCAGAAGAAGCACCGGCUAACUACGUGCCAGCAGCCGCGGUAAUACGUAGGGUGCGAGCGUUAAUCGGAAUUACUGGGCGUAAAGCGUGCGCAGGCGGAUUGUUAAGCAAGAUGUGAAAUCCCCGGGCUUAACCUGGGAAUGGCAUUUUGAACUGGCAGUCUAGAGUGUGUCAGAGGGGGGUGGAAUUCCACGUGUAGCAGUGAAAUGCGUAGAUAUGUGGAGGAACACCAAUGGCGAAGGCAGCCCCCUGGGAUAACACUGACGCUCAUGUACGAAAGCGUGGGUAGCAAACAGGAUUAGAUACCCUGGUAGUCCACGCCCUAAACGAUGUCAACUGGUUGUUGGGGGAGUGAAAUCCCUUAGUAACGAAGCUAACGCGUGAAGUUGACCGCCUGGGGAGUACGGUCGCAAGAUUAAGACUCAAAGGAGUUGACGGGGACCCGCACAAGCGGUGGAUGAUGUGGAUUAAUUCGAUGCAACGCGAAAGACCUUACCUACCCUUGACAUGUCCAGAAUCCUGCAGAGAUGCGGGAGUGCCCGAAAGGGAAUUGGAACACAGGUGCUGCAUGGCUGUCGUCAGCUCGUGUCGUGAGAUGUUGGGUUAAGUCCCGCAACGAGCGCAACCCCUUCAUUAGUUGCUACGCAAGGGCACUCUAAUGAGACUGCCGGUGACAAACCGGAGGAAGGUGGGGAUGACGUCAAGUCCUCAUGGCCCUUACGGGUAGGGCUUCACACGUCAUACAAUGGUCGGUACAGAGGGUUGCCAAGCCGCGAGGUGGAGCCAAUCCCAGAAAGCCGAUCGUAGUCCGGAUUGUUCUCUGCAACUCGAGAGCAUGAAGUCGGAAUCGCUAGUAAUCGCGGAUCAGAAUGUCGCGGUGAAUACGUUCCCGGGUCUUGUACACACCGCCCGUCACACCAUGGGAGUGGAAUCUGCCAGAAGUAGGUAGCCUAACCGCAAGGAGGGCGCUUACCACGGUGGGUUUCAUGACUGGGGUGAAGUCGGAACAAGGUA
rnacentral:rRNA from 1 species